UGAUUGCGUUCGAAUGAAUCAAAGUUGACUUGAACAAAAAAUAAAAAUGAAUUUCAAAUUAUUUGCCAUUUUUAUUGUUAUUUUAUUCCUUGGAGUUACAUUCAAAGUCUCCAUUGUCUCUGCUUGGUUCACAUCCAAUAAUAACAACAACAUAAAAUGUUCCGAGUUGGGUAUAUCUCAAAAUUGUCGCAGUUACUGUAAACAAAGCAAUUACAAUUAUGGUGAAUGUGAUGCACGUAAUAAUUGUGUAUGCAAUUAAAUAAUCAUUCCAAAUAAAAGAUUACGAAUGACCAUAUAAUAUGUUUUAUUUUUGUUUGUGUAUUACACAAAGUUCGUAUGAUUAAAAUUGUAUGUAAAUUAACAUGUCAAAUAUUCCAAUAAAUUGAUAGACUGAUUUGCACAGAAAAUA